AGAUCACAGACUGCUGAAUAAGAGAGAAGUCCGGUGACUGAAAAAAUAGAAGGAUUUGAAAACUGCUAAUAUUUUCUAUUAUAGCAACUGAGAAUUAGACACUGGGGAAAAAUUUUGGCUCCUCGUUUGGGUCAAAAAUGUAGCAUGAGGUAGCAUUUUAAAGUCCAAUCCCCAAGAGGUUUGCAAUGAUUUAAUGUAUGCUAAGUAAUUCACAAUAAUAACAAGAGUGUGCAAAUUUUAGAUAAUUAUUGCCUAUGUUAUACCAAAUUAUUUAAAGUCUGGUGGUUAAAACAAAAGAUUCUUUGCCUAAAGACCUUUUUGUUCACUUCCUUCUUAUUUUACUAAACCAAAGCAAGAAUUAUCCAGAAGAUUUUUGUGAUCUCAUGGGCAGGCAAGAAGUGGGAACAGAAAUGAUAGCAAAUAUAUCCAAGCUCUACAAAAGGGCUACAAAAGUAAUUUUCAUUUAAAAAGGUAUUUUUUAAUGCUUUAAAUACUUUUAGAAUUGGAUCAUCUGUCUCAGCUGAUUGGAAAGAAAUCUACCAGGCUUGACUUUGAGGUCCGUGUGUGUGGCUAAAGCAGAUAUGAGUAAAAGGUUUGGCCUAAGGUCUUCAUUCUCCUUUUGGAAAGGGAUAGACACAUAGCAGCACAGAGAAAUGGAAAACUAAAAGCCAAUGCUGAUGGAAGAGACUUACAGCAAGUAAGAGACAUGUAACUAAACAGGUGUCAUGUUGUGGGCUUAUCCCAGACUUCCAUUAGAUUGAAAUGAUGGUUUUUAUUAAAAAUCUUUUUAUGCCAAAUACAUGGACAGUAGCUGUCCAUGUGUAUAAUCUUUUUUUUUUUUUUUUUUUUUUAAUAUUUGUAACAUUUUUCUACAAAUUUCUAAAGGUUUGUAUGAAAAGGUGCCUGCUGUUUGGAAACACUUUUUCUACUGCCCUGGAGGUUCAAAUAUUCAAAUAUCAAAUGCAGUGCCUUCCAAACAAUGUGAUUUGAUUUGGAAAUUUGUUCCCUUACAACAAAAGAGAAAGAUUCUGCUCUACAGAUUCUCUUAAAAAGGGGAACACAUUAAGCACUGGAAAAUGUAAAAAUACAGCAACAAAACACAUACUAGUAAUUUCACAGUUAUCUUGGCUGUUGUAAAUAUGAGAAAAAGGAAAAUAAAAGGGAAAUAAAAGAAAAAUCAAUGGGUAGAUUUUAUAUGACAUGUUUGAGGGUCUUUCCCAUGUACCAGUAUAUUUCUUUUAAAGCAGACUCACACUACUUAAUGAGUGAAGCAUAGAUGUGUGUGUGCAUCAAAAAUGCAUGAAAUAUUCACCUUAGCUCUGUAUAAUCCCUUUGGAAAUAAAAACAGGCAACUUUACUAAGAUAUUGCAGAAUUUAAUAAUUGAUUAGUUUAAGAUUUAAUGAUAUGUUUCAUCUAUGCAUUAAUCAUUUCUCCCCCUUCUGAUGUUAAUGCUUUUCAAAGUCAUUGCUUGAUGACACCAUGUAAAUUCAGCAGUCUGACAGUUAAAAGAAAGGUUUAGAGGUCUUGGAUAAGUUUUUGAAAAUUAGUAUAUUGCAAGUACCAAGAAAUUUUAGAUGCAGUAUGUUACAGGGAAAAAAAAAUCAAUCAGAAAUUGCUAAGGGACCACAUUUAUUUUGUUGUUUACAAUUUUUUUGACCUGCUUUUAUCAGAUGUGAAUUGGCCUUUAUCUGGGAAGUAUUUACUUCAUCUGAGAAAUAUUAAUGUUGCUUUACAUAUGACUUGAGUUUAAAAAAUAUAUUUUAAAGCAGUGACUGUAAAUAUUUGAAAGAGAUCUUUGUUUCUGUCAAAGUCCUGUUAAUAACAGUCUGAACACAGGAGGGAGACAAAGACUUGCUUAAGAUAGGUGCAGAGACGUGUUUAAAAGCUAAACUUCGGGAAAGAAAUAGAGUGAAUGUAGCUGGUGAUUUACAAGUACUAUGUUUGAUAUAAAAUAAUAUUUUUAUCAUAUAACAUAUUGCUUUCUAAAUUUCCCCCUAACAUUAUUUGUUGAGAAAUAGGUCACCCUACAUCUUUUUCCAUUAUUAAUUACUUCAAAUGUGAUAAUUUCUUAGCCUAUUUCUGGAACUGAUAUCAUGGAUAGCCUUCCCUUGUCUCUGCCUGCAGCUGAUAUUGAGGUAUUUUUGCCAAUAGAAAAAUUACAUCGGAUCACAUCAAAGUUAUAUUGUCUCUGCAGAUUGUACCACUAAUAUUUGAAGAAAGAUGCACUUAUCCUUUUUUUUUUUUCCUAACUCAGCACCAUUGGCCAUGAGCAUGUAGUGUUUUGCAGUGCUUUCUUUUGUUUGAGAGCUCUACAAAGAGUUGAUAUGAUAGAGAAAGAUUUUUAAAACUGUUUUCUUCCAAAACCUCUUGGCAUAAAAAAAUUAGCAAACCAUGACUGCACAAAUUUUUACAGUCUUCUGUAGUUUGCAGUGAGAACAGAGCUAAGGAAACUUGCUGGAUGUUUGGUAGCUGGGAAUCCUAAGCCCUCUUUCCCUACAGCAGAAGUGCAACAACAUGCCUGGAUUCGCCAGUGUGAGCUAACCAUAUCUCUGAAGAAGCCCAUCCUGAAUUAAUUUUCCUUGUACACACGAGGCCUGUCUGCUGAGAUUGAAGGUCAGCUCAUUUUUCUGAUUUCUGAUAUGGUUUCCUACUUGCUGAGAGCUGAACUGAGACUGCUUACACUGGCCAGCAAAGGGUCACAGGACGGACUUUUCAUUGCAGUCAUAUAGUGAAGAAAACAAAACUGACUGGCAGUGAAUCCUAUCAAUUGACUUAGAGAUGGUGGAAAAGAGCUGGAUAUGAUAAAGCAACAAAAUGAUAAUGUGGAAAAACUUCUGAAUGGUAGGAGUAGUUUUCUAUGUGGGCUCCAAAUUGGUUGCCUGGUCCCUGUAAUACUGCUUUUGUGCUUUAUAUCUGCUUACGGCAUUUUAAAAUGAUAACACCAAUUAAUCUUUACAUUUUUAUAGUAAAAUUGUGAAAAAAUAAUUCCAAGGACUUGAUGAUGAUUUGGGUAAAUUUGACAAUCCUACUCUGUAAUCUAGAUAUCAGUUCAAUUCUGGAUGACUUUACAUCCUUCUCUCAGAUCCACAAUCACCCAGCCUUUUUUGUGUUGUUAUGAAUUGUAACUAGGACAUCAAUAUUUCCAAACUGCAUCAAAGAGCUGUCUCUACUUACACAUGUGAAAGCAAUUCAUAAUGACAAGAAAUAUACAGAAAUAAAAUAAAGGACCACUGUACUGGACAAUUAAAACCUCAUAAAACAUGGCUACCUUCUAUGCUAUUAAAAAGAAAAUGCAAGCCAGAUGUUUCAUGUAAGUAUGGGGCUUAGUUUGGACUACACAGAUGCAUCAUCUCUGUGACUUUUAGAUCAACAAAACAAACUAAAAGUAGGUUUUUUUAGUGUAGAGAAAUUCACUGUAUUCCAGCAGAAUCAUGGAGUUAUAAAAUCAUAGAAUCAUUGAAUGGUUUGGCCUGGAAGGUACAUCUUGUUCCAACCCUCCUGCCAUGAGCAAUGUUGGUCAGAGCCCUAUCCAAGACCUUGACGGAUGGGGAAUCUGCAGCUGGGUAAGAAAAGCAGCAUCGGGAAUUUUUCCUUAAACAAGAGCAAUAUUGGUUGUAAGUUGAUGGUGGAUCUGUUUCAAAACAGAAAGCUAUUUCAAAACUACUGUUGCUGAAACAGUGCAAAACCAGAGCCCAUACUUUUAAUAUAUACAGCAAAAUGAGCUCUCAGGCAGGCUGGGAAUAGCUACUUGGGCUAUGUGGCAGAGGCAGUACUAUUCUCUCUACCGUCCGUUUUCUAAAAUGAAGCAACUGCUAAGUCAGUUCUGCAUUAGAUCUUUGCUGGCAACAGUGAUUAGCAUAGCACAAUCUGCUGGAGUUGUAGACAGCUGAGUUCUGUGCAUCUAAAAAAUUUAGCCAUAAACAAGCAGGCAGAACUACAAGAAAACCAUUGCACCAGUGAGAAAUUUUAAGAAAAGGUAACUGUAGCCACUUCCUGCCUGCCUUCCUGCCUAGAUGAGAUUACAAUGCUGAGCUCUUGCUGGGACAACACUUGAGAAAUGCUAAAAAACUCUCUUUGGGUAACAUAAGCACUUCAUAACACUUUUACUGAUGUUUAGGUUUCCUUUUCUCAUCUGUAACAGUAUCUUCGGUGCCUUGGGGAGGGACGCUCACUGCUCACUGCGCAGCUGGGGCAGCCUGCCUGCCUGUGGUUCCUGGGGAUGACACAUGACUCAAGUGAGUAAUGGAGACUGGCAACUGCCCAAUAUUUUACUGCCCAAUUUCGCUGGACAGUAAACUGUGGAUCUGCUUGAUCUUUGGAUGCAUUUGGAAGCAGGUGGGCCAUGAGAACUCAGGUGGAGGCUGACUCCCAAAGGAGAGUGAAUGGAGAAAUGUGGCCUGUCCCUACAGCUUUGGAAAUACAAGCCUUGACAGAAUGUAUAAAGGUGAGGACAAAGGCGAGUUGUGGCAAGGGAAAUUCAGGCAACUGGUAAGUGACACUGAGAAAAUCUUUUAUCAAAGUGUAGGCAGAAGUCACCAGAGACCAGGAUUUCAACAACUGGCGUUUUAUAAAACCAAGCGAAAAGCAGACCUGAAAAGAAAUACAGUAUCUGAGCAACAGUGAGUAAGGUUGAAUGGUGUCCACAGACAGAUAACGUGAGCAGAACUGUGCAAAGGCAUGUAUUUUCUUUCAGAACAAUAAAAGCCAAACAUACCAGAGAUUACUAAUAGAGAUAGGAACCUGUAUGAAAUGUUGACAUGUAUAAAAUAUCCUUCAAUAGAAAAUGAGUGCAGCUUGAAAACCAUCAUGUUCAAGACCUGAAAACACAUCAAAUGAGUAAAGACACAGAGACAGGUCAUACAUUUUGAGGAGAAAAGUUGUACUGAAUGGAGAAGAAGGUAAUCAGUCAAAGCAAUCAAGGAAAGCAUCAGAGCAGGAAAUUAUCAGGUUAUGCUUUGGAGCCAGUGAAUAAAAGGCAGCUAAUAUCAGAAGUAAGCUUAGCAUGGAUGACCAAUGUAGUAAUCCUGUUGAUGUAGAUGACCUAAAUUGUGAUAUAUUUGUGAUUGUUUCUCACCGUACAGCAGCAAAAGCUGUUGUUUACUGCCUUAAUCGGCUAAACAAAUGUAAUUUCGUGUUAAAUUACUACACUAGGUACAGUCCUAUUGUCAUGAAAUUGGUGGCAAAGUUGUGAGAGAAGGUUUGAAUUUCUGAAAGCACUAAAUUUCAAAGAAACAUCUCAGUCUCGGCUCUGUCCCAGGUAAUAAAGUAGCAAAAAAUUGUGUCUGAAGGAGUGGCAAGUAUAAAAAACUGUCCAGUCAUUACACUGUAAUAGGCAAACACAAAGAGCUUAUUUAAACAUAAGUAUGCAUAAUAGGAGUUGUGCUCUUUAUAGUCAACUUACAUUCAAAAAGUAAUCUACAUAGUCAGUCCUAGCCUGAUAUAUAUUACCACUCAGCAUAUAUGAAAAAGCACUUGCAGAUUCAAGAUGAAGAACACGUUGCAAAUUCUUUAUUCAAAUUUAGAAAUUCAGCAUAGGACUAUCUGCUCUUGCACAUUUAAAGCUUCCAGUUCAUCUCAAAAUAAAUGUACCUACAUAUACAGUGUAAAACACAUAUGAAGAUGACAGUACAGCUUUUUUUGGAUUCCAAAUAGUAAAAAUGACAAAUGUUUACAUAUGUUGGCAGAAUACCUUAUUAUAAUGGUGCUUAUCAAUUGUGGUGCUUGGAAAUAAAUUUAAAAUAAUAUUUGAGGGCAAGCUUUCUUGAACAAGAGUGAGAUAGCUGUUCCACAAAUCAACAGUUUCAGUGUUGCUUUCUCCACUGUUGUCUCACUUAAGGAAAUGUUGCUGAGCACACACUUUUCCCUAAGAGAGACAGUGAAGUUAGUGCAGCUACGCUCCCUUCUGAAGCAGCCUGAGAGCACUGUAUGGUUGCAACUCUGCCAGAAACAAAUAGACAGCAAGGUGAUUGCAUGAAUGUACAUGAAUGGCUACUGCAACCUAUUUAGUAUUUUAUAUUAAAUUUUAUUAAAUUGACAACCACCAAUGAAAGCAGCGACAAUAAGCAUGUGCGUGCACUUUCUUAUUUAAAACACAGAUGUAUGCUGUGAUCUCUAGUUUUUCUAUAUGAUGUCAUCAUGCAAGAAAAAUUUUCUGCAUCAUGAAGUAUUUUAUCUCUUGAUAUGCUCAAUCUCUGCUAACAGAAUUCAAUAUAUAUCUAUGUCUUUGUACAGUUCACCUGCUACACAGGAUCACACAGGAAAUUAUUCACACAUAUGCUUGUCAAAAUAUAACAAGUGUCCAGAAAAGGAGAAUAUCUUAUGAUAAGUUUGCAGUUAGACUGUAAGUGGUAUCAUAGGCCAAGACUACCUUAGAUAAAUUUUGUAACAGUUGUAAGUGCUCUAUACAUAUACCUUAUUCAGGCAUUUUUAUAGAGAUAUUUAAUUACAAUGCCAUGUCUAUCUUAUUGUAAUGCAGAAAAAGCGCUCAGACUGGUCAGCUACGUCUAUUUAGCUUCUUCUGAAAAAUACAACUGAAAACUUAGUAUGCCUUGGCAUGGAGGAAUUUAAAAAAAAUAACUGUAUUUACUGUUAAUGGAAUGCUGCUUCAUAGUCAGAACAAUUUCAGAACUGGAACUAGAAAGUAGUUAAAUGCCACAAAGCAUCAAAUAUGGGACAAACAGUGGGUUUGAUUAUCUGGAUUUGUCCCAUCCUCUCCAGUGAAGGAUUCAGAAAUUUCUGCAAUUUAUAGACACAGAAUUUGUGUACAAUAAUUCAUACCCAUAUUGUUGAUUUGACACAAUACUUCUAGACUUAUAGAAAAGCUAAGAUGUUUGUGUGUCACUAGAUUUCAAAUACCCCAAUGAAGACUUGCAAACCCAGAUCAGAAGCCAUCCAACACCUCAAUAAUGAAGAAGCCAGUAUUUAGCUUGCAUGUAAUUUUUGGCGAGAAGUUUAUAAAGAGCUUUAUAAUCCAGAUCUUUGGGAGCACUUUGUAAACAUGAGAAAUGAUACCUGAGUCUAUAUGAUCACUGAGGGUAAACACAUCAACCAGUCUGGGAAGCUGAAGUAAUGUCUGAAAUAGCAUGAUUGUCAAAAAUUAAAAUGAAAGUAUUACGAUUUGGUGGUGUUUAUGUUCUACCUGGCUUCUAUUUUUCCUACCUUGAAGGUUGUUGGACCAGUAGGAAAAAUUGUCCUCUGCAUAAAAAGUGGAGAUAGAGAUAAAGUAUAUUGGCCCAAAUUCUCAGUACUCCUGAGAUAAAAAGAACAGAGAAAAACAAAAUGAAUGGAAGUAAUUAAAAAGUCACAUCAUUAAAUUAGUACUGCUUCAUGAUCUACUGUUUUAAGGUCUUAGAUCUCCAGCUGCUUGUCAGAGAAAUAAGAGAACAGCAGCCACAGAAAUAAGAGAAGCAGUUUGCAUUUUCUAUCAUUCUCUCUUUUAAAUGUGACCAUCCAGAAUUCUUAUCCUAGUGCUUCCUUUUUUCCUCCAAAGUGGAUUCCUAAGGAAGACCUGGUGUUUUGGGAUUCUGAGAUUAGUUGUCUUCCUCCCUAGAGAUGGGGUUCUAGCUUUGCUCACCUGUAGGUGACAGUUAAGGUCAUAAGGUCUCAGGCUUUUAGUAGUUAAAGAGGUGGUGACUAUUUUGUGUGUGGGGUUAGAGGUCAAUUUUAAAUGUUCAACCCAUAUGUUCAGGUAGCAGUUUGGAUUGUAAAACCUUUGGCCGAAGUUCUGAUCAUGGCAGCUGGGCAGAAAAUGAACUGUAUUGCUAAUUGCAUGCAGCACAUAUUGGGCUUAUUUGAGUAGCAGUAUGCAAACUGAUGUAUGCUCACUAAUCUGUUCCACUACUUCAAGAACAUUUUAAUCUUAACAUUAGUCCCAGAAAAAAAAGUCACUGCUUUCCAAAAAUCAAAGUUGGUAUCAGUAAAGAUUGAUAUUCUUUGCUUUUAUUAAAUAAGUUAACACAUAAUCAGAAUUAAAAGCCCAGCUUCUUGUCUAAGGUUGCAAUGCAAGAUGUGGUUGGGAGUAUGUAUUCCAUUGCCAUCUGUUAGAACCAGGUGGGACAGUUAUCUUCUUUUAGUAGGUCAGCCGUUAAACCAGGUGGGGCAGUUUUCUUUACCUCUUCCAGUACCCAUCCUCUCUCCGGGGAGAUCUCUUAGUGAGAAGAUUGAGUGAGACAUUGAGUCCCACUGCAUGACUGAUAAAAUGACAUCAUCCCAUUCUGAGAUGCUCCAUGCAGGGGGAGAGCCAAGCAUUCCUACCUGGAUAUAAUCUGAGUAUUGGAACACCACAGGCAGCCCUUUCCCACUGGAUUCCCAGAGGUGCAGCCUUUUCCACUGGAUUCCCAGAGGAAGACCAGGCUCAUCAUUUGCCUCUGGACCUUCAGAGGAAAACUACAUUCUUCUACAGGAUCACUGCUUCAACAGGACCACAUGUGUCACUCCAAAAAGACUGCAGCCACCGUUUAAUCGGAACAACACCCUGACCAACAGGGUGUCAGGCUGUGUUCUGACUCUGUCAGUGUUGUUUUCUAUUACUGCAUUUUUAUUUUUAUUUUCCUAAUAAAGAACUGUUAUUCCUACUUCCAUA